rnacentral:rRNA from 1 species
GACGAACGCUGGCGGCGUGCUUAACACAUGCAAGUCGAACGGAAAGGCCCUGCUUUUGUGGGGUGCUCGAGUGGCGAACGGGUGAGUAACACGUGAGUAACCUGCCCUUGACUUUGGGAUAACUUCAGGAAACUGGGGCUAAUACCGGAUAGGAGCUCCUGCUGCAUGGUGGGGGUUGGAAAGUUUCGGCGGUUGGGGAUGGACUCGCGGCUUAUCAGCUUGUUGGUGGGGUAGUGGCUUACCAAGGCUUUGACGGGUAGCCGGCCUGAGAGGGUGACCGGGCACAUGGGGACUGAGAUACGGCGCAGACGCCUACGGGAGGCAGCAGUGGGGAAUAUGGCACAGUGGGAGGGAGCCUGAUGCAGAAACGCCGCGUGCGGGAUGACGGCCUUCGGGUUGUAAACCGCUUUCGCCUGUGACGAAGCGUGAGUGACGGUAAUGGGUAAAGAAGCACCGGCUAACUACGUG